rnacentral:misc_RNA from 1 species
GUUGAAACUGUCAAUCAAUCAUCACGGCCAUCUAAUUAGGUCAACUAAUUAGGUCACCAAUUCAAGACAUCUCUCCGGGCAUAUUGGGACGCCAGUUAAUAAAACACCUCUAUUGGUUUCACAUGUCAGAGAUAUUGAUUAUAUUUUUAAUUUAAUGACUUAAAUUGAUUUUUCAAAUAUUAAAAUAUUUAAUUAAUUAUAUCGUAUUAAUUAAUAUUGAACAGUGCCCGUAUGUUGCUCUGAGUAGUGGUUCAUAUAAGGGUGAAUUUCAAAUCAGCAGUCAUUCUACACUAUUGUAUUUAAGGACAGGUGGUCUAGGAAAAACGUUAGAAAUUAGAAUAUCGUGCAUGUAUUAAUUCUCGUAGAGUAUAACCGUUGAAGAGGACACAUCUUUUCUAAUCAAAGACAAAGUCAACUUUUACAUAAAGGAUUUAAACAAUAAUGAGGACUGGUUUUAUAGUGCCAGCAUAGGAUCACAAAAUAUUAUUCAACGUUGAGACAUCCAAUUGUACAACAAAAGCAGAGCUACAAAUAACGCAGGUGCCAGGUAGUCGUAACACACAGAUUCACAACCAAGACAUACGCCAAAAUCAUCACAACAUACACAAUCAAGAGGACUCCAGACUCAAUCGAUCAGAACAUUGAACGUAAUCAGGACUCAUUUAUAAUCACGAUUACUCAUAGAGAUUUAACCCCUACCAGUCUAGGCAAUAGUUUAGCAGUCACAAUGCUGGAUUUAAACAAUAUGGACUCAAAGAAUAUUAUCAUGGCUGGGUAUAAUGACUGUACAGAGGAAGCGAUACGAUAUCUCACAGAAGUUGAAUUGAUACCUAUAGACGAUCCCAUUAUUAUUGGUCUCAGAGAACAUCUGAGUGAAAAACAGAAAUAUUUGGAUUACACUGAUAUAUUGCAUCAACUUGAACUAGAACUUAAUGCCAGCAGUACGAUAGACUUGGAUAUGGAUACAAAUGAAACAUCAAAUCUAAGAUACCAUAGUAACAAUGAUUCAGGUUGCCAUAGUGACACUGACACUGAUGAAAAUGAUCAUCAGAAUCUCCAUAAUGACAUUUAUUCAUUAUCUCACAAUGCUGAUUUUCCAGAAGUCGGAUCUUAUAAUUUAGAACAAUUCAAUAACAAUCUAGUAAGAACAACGUCUAAUUCAACGAUUGACGUCACGGAAACGUCAUUUGCGAAUGACACCAAUUUCACAGAUGGCAGUGAGUGCAGUUUAACUAGCAUAAACUUUGCCCUUCUCGUUCAAAAUAACCCCGACAUAGCACAUCUAACAGAUGAACUAUUAUGCUUGUUACAAGCAGCUCCUGAUCAAAUCAUAGAUGAAGUAUAAAUAUCAUAUCAACUUUUAACCUCCAAGAGUCCAAAUGUGUAUCUGGGGCGAAUAUACUAUUUCGCAAUGACUGAAGUGGAAGUCUUAUUUUGAGACUAGGCCUGCUCAUAUCUUCUAAUAAAAUUGUACAAAUCCUUUCAAAAUAAAAAGAUAUUCUAAGUAUUGUAUAAUUACACGAAUGGAAUAAAAUCAUAUUAUAUGUUCUUAUUUU